ACCCGAAAAUGCCAAGGCGAACGUGAUAACCACUACACUACGGAAACGCCCGGGGGCGGCAGCCUUUCGCCGGGCAGGAUGGAACCGCAUUCUCCUUUCCCGGGCGCCCCCAAAUCCAACAAUUUGGAAUGAUUUUUCUUCUAGUGUAUUUUCAGUCACGCUGCAUUUCUUUCCCUCCCACUGUUCGUUUGUUAAAACAACGUUCUAGGAACUUCAUGACUCACAACCAAAC